rnacentral:rRNA from 1 species
AUUGAACGCUGGCGGCAUGCUUUACACAUGCAAGUCGAACGGUAACAGGUUAAGCUGACGAGUGGCGAACGGGUGAGUAAUGCAUCGGAACGUGCCCAGUCGUGGGGGAUAACGCAGCGAAAGCUGUGCUAAUACCGCAUACGAUCUAUGGAUGAAAAGCGGGGGACCGUAAGGCCUCGCGCGAUUGGAGCGGCCGAUGUCAGAUUAGCUAGUUGGUGGGGUAAAGGCCCACCAAGGCGACGAUCUGUAGCUGGUCUGAGAGGACGACCAGCCACACUGGAACUGAGACACGGUCCAGACUCCUACGGGAGGCAGCAGUGGGGAAUUUUGGACAAUGGGCGCAAGCCUGAUCCAGCAAUGCCGCGUGCAGG